rnacentral:misc_RNA from 1 species
GAAAUGCGAUAAGUAAUGUGAAUUGCAGAAUUCAGUGAAUCAUCUAAUCUUUGAACGCACCUUGCGCUCCUUGGUAUUCCUUGGAGCAUGCCUGUUUGAGUAUCAUGAAAUCUUCAAAGUAAAUCUUUUGUUAACUCAAUUGGUUUCUACUUUGGUAUUGGAGGUCUUUGCAGCUUCACACCUGCUACUCUUUGUUCAUUAGCUGGAUCUCAGUGUUAUGCUUGGUUCCACUCGGCGUGAUAAGUUAUCUAUCGCUGAGGACACUGUAAAAGGUGGCCAAGGUAAAUGCAGAUGAACCGCUUCUAAUAGUCCAUUGACUUGGACAAUACUUUUAUGAUCUGAUCUCAAAUCAGGUAGGACUACCCGCUGAACUUAAGC